AAAAAACAAACUCUGGGGUUUCUAUGUCUAACUUUGAUUGUCCGUCUUAUAUGAAUUUUUUUAUAAUUUAUAUUUUCAUUGUUGUUAGAUGAUAAAACAUGAUUAAUAUUUUAUGCGUGACUUGUCUUUUUAAUUUUUUUCAUAAAUUUUUCAAAUAAGACGGACGGUCAAACGUUGGACACGGAAACCAGGGUUUGUCUUUUU
rfam:Oryza sativa (indica cultivar-group) chromosome 10, whole genome shotgun sequence.